CUCAGGGUAAGUAUUAUAAACAGAUUCUUCUCUUCUUAGUGCUAUGGUGGGAAGUAACGUGUCAGGAUGGCCAGGGAAAUGAGAAACGUUUCUUGAAAUUCUAGAUGACCACAUAGAGUUUAUUUUUUCCUCUAAAUAAUUUUUGAAAUUAUUUUGCAAAGUUAGAGCAGAGGAUUUUGGCUGCCCUUAUGAAUUAUUCUAAUGGGACGGUCACAGGAGGUGGUUUUUCUGAAGAGUAAAUGGAGAAAGAGUCCAACUUCCAUGUUUCAUUUCACCACAAAGUUCCCCAAUCUGUUCUUCCAGAAGCUGGUCACAUGACAACCUAGAAAUGAUCCGGUGGGUCUCCAGGAGGCUUGUCAGAGUCUGGGUAUUGUGCUUCGCCCACCUUUAAUGCUCUCUCUCUUUUUUCUCUCCACUCUCCUUUUCUCUGUCUUUUGCUUUUGUUGUUGUUGAUGAUAUCACAUUUAGUUGCAGGCAUCAGUCCUUGUCAGUAAAUUCAACAUAUUCAUAGUUGGCAAAUUUACAACAUUGAUAAAGUAGGAAACAUUCACUUUUCAUAAUACAAAACCUCAAAUUUCAUCUGUGUCGAGAUUGGAUUGUAUCAACUUAAGUAAGCUACCAACUUACUGUAAAAAACGGAAAAGAAAAUCAGGAAAGGAGACAUACUUUUCACUCUUUACCCUUUUGUUCUAUUUGAAAAUUUUACUGUAAAUAUAUACCUAUUUUUUAAACUCUAUAUGAUAGUUAAUUAGUUAAUUAAUUAAAGCCACCUCGGAGAUGUGUUUCAGCAACGUUCAUUGAGAUAUCUCAGGAAAAGGGCAUCUGAGGUCCAGUGCUGUUCUCAUUCAGAUUUAGAGCAAUCAAGGGAAAAAACACAAAAGCUGAAAUAUUCAGGAGAAGGAAGAUUUGUUUACAUCAUUUAAAUUUAUCCCAAACUAUCAAAGACCAAAGCAAGUACUGAAAUUUGCUGGAACAAUUGUCUCUGCAAAAUGGGACAGCAUUUUAUUGCCUCUCUGUCUGCUGUUAACAAGCUAGAAAACAAAGCUAGUGACAACUACAGUCAGCGAGUGACAGACGACAUGGUUCUCAUCAGCUCAAUCUCUCUGUGCAGCCUUCAGUAGACUCUAACUUUUUAGUACCUUCUACUCGCUCAUAAAUCCUGAGGCUAAGGUUGAGGGUAGCUUCCCUGGGAACAUGAUCAGCCUCUCCUGGGCAGAAGAGAAGCCUGCUGGGCAGCUUCAAUAGAACCAGGUGGAGGGAACAAUGGGUCUGAGUCUGCCCCAUGGAUAUAAAUGUAGCCACUCAAGGACUAGGGAGAUGAGGUUUGGGAAAUCGGUGUGAAACUAGUGAAAGAGAAUACAAUCCAAGACCUUGGCUAGGACACUACACGCAAUGAGAAGAGGUGUGUGAAUUUCCAGUUAGUUCCUCACGCCUGGUCUCAUGACCUACCCAAGUUCCUUUUCCAAUCACUCCAUGAUAACCAAGCAAUAUUACCUAAGUCUUAUUCUCCUUCACUUUUGCCUUCUCUCUGGCACUUGUCACUCUUGACUAUAUUUCUUCUACUCACAGACGCUUUUUAGAGGACAAGACUAUGUCUGAUAAUAGUAAUAAUAUUAAUAAUUACUACUUAUUAUGAAAUAACUUCCAUGUACCUAGUAGCUUGCAUAAGCCUCUUACUUGAUCCUUAGAACUGCCCUUUGAUGCCUCAUAGGUGUGAUUACGGCCUGGAAAAUGGAGCUUAGAGAGGUGAAGAGAUUUAAUUUACAUUUCUGAUGUCACAUUUCUAGUGUCCCUGAUCUUGUUACUUCCUAAUAAUGGGACGUUAAAGUGAAUGACCUACAGAGUAUCUACUUGCUUUAGCACUGUGACAGUUACAAGGAAGUGGGCCUGUUAGAAAGAGCAUGAAUUUUAGAAACAGAUCCUUGAUCCUGAUACAUGAAAGAUGCUCAGGAAUUGAUAGUUACCACCACCACCACUCCAUUGUCAUCAUCAUUGGCAUCGUCCUUAUCGUCGUCAUCAGACUUGAGCUCUCCUUUCUAGGAACUCUUGUUCUUUCCAGUAUAUUACACUUCCUUGUAAUUGCGAUGGUGUCCAUAGCAUGGUAGGUACCUUUUAAACAUUUCUAAAAUAUUUGUUGAUGGGUUAACUGAUUGCAGUUUGUCUUUCCAGAUGUAGUAUUAUUGACAAAAGAACAAAUCAGUAAAGUAACAAAUUGGUAAGCUGUUCUGCAAAUCAGACUAUAAAGAUUUUUUCUACAAGGUCCUUUCCUGAGUUUUAGGACCCAGGACCUACAGGAGCCCAGCACAGACGGGAGAGCCUUCAGGCUCCCCUUCAGCCACCGUCUCCAGCUAGAAGUCCAGGGAACAAAGAGUCACUAGACAGCAUAAACCAAGGAAAUCAGAGCAAUCUUCAAGAAGCAAAAACCCCCAAGACACCUAAACAGAUAUGGAAAGAAGGACCAUCUAUGGAGUGGAAUCAGCCUCGUGUGUCUAAAGGAUGUGGGGAGAGGGUGCAGGAUGAUGCUGAAGGGCUGGACAGACCUGGGUUUGAACCCUGCCUCUGCAUUUUCCUUUCCAAGUGGCCUCGGCGUGUUACUUAAUCUUUCUGAGUCUAAGUUUCAUGUUUAUGAAAAAUGAUAUCAAUAAUACUUGGGUCAUAGGGUUGUUGUGAAAAUUCAAAAAGAGAGGUUAUAAAGUUUUUGCCCAGCAUCUAAAAAGGGCUCAGGAAUGGAAACCAUUAUACCAUUUUUGUCCUUCUUCACAUGGAUGGAGGGUAAUUAAUCAUAACUAUCUAUCAGUCACUGAGCACCUAUUAUAUACCAUGUAUGUAUGCAUCUAAUACUUAAAACUGUGUUGCAAGACCAGUAUCAUUACCCCCAUGUUACAGCUAAGCCACCCAGCUACCAUGCAGUGGAGCUAAGAUUCAAAUUCAGGUUUGUUUCCCUCUAAAGCCUGGGUCCAUUCUACUAUCCUCCACUGCCUCCUCAAACCCAAGAAAAAGAUUCAACUAGUCCCGUGAACAUUGGUAGUUUUCAAUAGGGAAUUUCCUCUUCAACAACCUAUUCCCAGUUGCCAGCCUCUUGAAAGGCAACUUUUUGCAACUUAUCAUAAUUGAUCAUGAGCCAGGGACCCUAACCAGCCCCGUGCUCCAGCAUCUCAGUAAUGAGACCCACAAGCCUUAGACUUGUCUGGGUCAUUCGGUGUGUCUGGUCUUGGAUGGCACAUGGUUGUGAAAUCUUCAGACUCCGAGAAACUAUCACCUGUCAGGUCCAGCAAAAAGUUUGAUUCGUAAGCGUCUUAGUCUGUUUGGGAUGCUAUAACAAAAAUACCACAGACAGGGGGGUUUAAACAACAAAUAUUUAUUUCUCACAGUUCUGGAGGCUGGGAAGUCCAAGGUCAAGGCACAGACAGAUUCAGUGUCUGCUGAGAGCCUGCUUCCUGGUUCAUAGAUGACCUCUUCUUGCUCUGUCCUCACACAACAGAAGUGGGGAGGGCGCUCUUUGGGGCCUCUUUUAGAAAAGCACUAAUCUCAUUCAUGAGGGCUCCAUCCUCAGGAUGUAAUCACCUCUCAAAGGCCCCACCUCUAAAUACCACCACAUUGAGAAUUAGGAUUCAAUAUAUGAAUUUGGGGGAGACACAAACAUUCAGUCCAUAGUACUAAGUCAAUAUUUGCAAGAAUAAAAUCAGCAUGUUAUCCCCUGUGGAACUGUUCAUUAUUCCCUCUGAUCAUCUCCUUCCCAUUGGUUUGAUUUCUGAUGUGAGCUCUCAGCAUCAUGUGCUACAUGAGUGAUGGAGAACACACUACAGUUUCACAUCAACCACACAACCCACCCACAGCUCCUGUAGGCAGCCUGAUAUUUUGCCCUUAUGCUGUACUCUGGGAAGAGGAUAGGUGGUUGGUGAAAGACUCACUGAGGACAGUAUGUACAAGUUACCCCAGCUGCCAUCUCC
rnacentral:lncRNA from 1 species